rnacentral:rRNA from 1 species
CAGUCGCCGCGGUAAUACGAGGGGGGCGAGCGUUGUUCGGAAUUAUUGGGCGUAAAGGGCGCGUAGGCGGUUUGACAAGUCUGAUGUGAAAUCUCUGGGCUCAACCCAGAGUCUGCAUCGGAAACUGUCGAGCUUGAGUAUGGGAGAGGUGAGUGGAAUUUCCGGUGUAGCGGUGAAAUGCGUAGAUGUCGGAAGGAACACCUGUGGCGAAAGCGGCUCACUGGACCAUUACUGACGCUGAGGCGCGAAAGCUAGGGGAGCAAACAGGAUUAGAGACCCCAGUAGUCCCUGUCUCUUAUAC